GCCGGCUUAGCUCAGUUGGUAGAGCAACCGCCUUGUAAGCGGUAGGUCAGGAGUUCGAGUCUCCUAGCCGGCU
rnacentral:tRNA from 1 species